GACGGACGCUGGCGGCGUGCUUAACACAUGCAAGUCGUACGGUAAGGCCCUUUCGGGGGUACACGAGUGGCGAACGGGUGAGUAACACGUGAGUAACCUGCCCACAACUUUGGGAUAACGCUAGGAAACUGGUGCUAAUACUGGAUAUGUGCUCCUGCUGCAUGGUGGGGGUUGGAAAGCUCCGGCGGUUGUGGAUGGACUCGCGGCCUAUCAGCUUGUUGGUGGGGUAGUGGCCUACCAAGGCGGCGACGGGUAGCCGGCCUGAGAGGGUGACCGGCCACAUUGGGACUGAGAUACGGCCCAGACUCCUACGGGAGGCAGCAGUGGGGAAUAUUGCACAAUGGGCGCAAGCCUGAUGCAGCAACGCCGCGUGCGGGAUGACGGCCUUCGGGUUGUAAACCGCUUUCAGCAGGGACGAAGCUUUUUGUGACGGUACCUGCAGAAGAAGCACCGGCUAACUACGUG
rnacentral:rRNA from 1 species